UAUAUUUUAUUGUAAAAUAAGAUGUUUUAUAAAAUAAUACACUUUAUAAAAUUGGAGAACUUGUUUAUCUCAGGAGAUGAAAUAUUUCGUAAUAAUUCACGGUAUCCACACUAGAUGUCGACUUUAGGUCGUGUAUUUAAUAUGGCGCGUAUAUUCUGAAGUACGUAGGUAGCCAAUGCUGGCGGGACUUGCGCCUCAGAAGGUUUUUGUACCGCAACGCGUACGGUAGCACGUGCUUGAAAGUUGUUCACUUCGUAUUCACUUACCAGCUUAAUGAUCAAUGCCCGCGAUUCCUUGAAAGCACGAGUUAUUAUCGAGAUUGUGCACGAGUCAUGGCCCGUUCUUAACCUAGAAUCACGUUCGAUUAAAACUGUUUUGUUGCGCGCGCGAAUCGUCGCAGAAAAGUCGUACGUGCGAAAUGUAACGUAACAUCGAAGGAGAGUUCGCACGGGUCUAGUUUAACGGUUGUAACAUAAAACUUUCGAUAUUAUAUCCCUUGGUUUUUGCGAAUUUUUGUUGAUAACAUUAACAAGCGAAUGGCUGUUCAAACGGAUUAUAACAAGAACGUAUCAAUAACGGCACGAUCUAAGAUUGUAAACGUAAACACUAUUACGCGUUGCUUAUUAUCUUGCGACAAAUGUGUAUUAGAACCGGUCUUUCCUUAUUCGUCAAUCGAACUUCGGUAGUUUUUAUUUGUUGAUGAUCGACUUAAUCGAUGAUAAUUUGUUCGUUGCGCAAAAUCUGUUUAAUGGUGCUUCCAAUCAAUGUUCCCGAUAAUAUUCAUUUAUGCGUCGAAUUAAGAAACGUUUGAUUUGCCGUUUUUUCGUGAAGUGACAACCGGUAAAGUCAUUACAAAUUUAAAUUUAUUGUGUGCAAGUGAUUAUGUGUUUAUUUUUGUUGAUGUAAAAAAGAUUUUGUUUUCUGUCUAUAGUUCUGAUAGUUAAAAAAAUUGAAUUUAUUAAGCUCAUAAGUUGUGAAGUGCAUUGUGAAAUUUCGAAGUGAAAAACAAAAAUUGAAGAAUCGUUCAACAUAUUCUAAGUGAUAUACUCUGCAACAGUUGGAACACACUCGAAACGAAGAU